rnacentral:lncRNA from 1 species
UUUUUUUUUUUUUUUUUUUUUUUGGUCUUUUUGCCUUUUCUUGGGCCACUCCCGAGGCAUAUGGAGGUUCCCAGGCUAGGGGUCUAAUUGGAGAUGUAGCCACAGGCCUACGCCAGAGACACAGCAACAUGGGAUCCGAGCCGCAUCUGCGACUUACACCACAGCUCACGGCAACGCUGGAUCCUUAACCCACUGAGCAAGGGCAGGGAUGGAACCCGCAACCUCAUGGUUCCUAGUCGGAUUCGUUAACCACUGCGCCACAAUGGGAACUUCUCAAACUGAAUUUUAAAAUCACAUUAACUAAAAUAGUGUGAUCUUGACACAGGAAGAGACUAAUGGAUGGAUCUACAGGCUAAGAAAUCUAAAAACAUGUAUUUUCACAUAUAUAAUUGUUACUACGGGAUGGGAUUUCAAAUUAGAAAAGAAAAAAUUCAAAGAAGAAGUAAAAGACCACAAUACAAAAAAUAAGUGUCACAUGGACCAAAAUCUAAAUCACUUGAAAGAAUGAACAAAAGAAAAAAAGGCACAACUUAGAAUAGAUUUACAAGGAAAUCCUGCUGAAUAGCAUUGAGAACUUUGUCUAGAUACUCAUGUUGCAACAGAACAAAGGGUGGGGGAAAAAAUGUAAUUGUAAUGUAUACAUGUAAGGAUAACCUGACCCCCUUGCUGUACAGUGGGAAAAUAAUUUAAAAAAAAAAGAAAAAAAGGAAACAUUAAAUUAGACAAAAAUACAGAAAAAGGAGUUCCCAUCAUGGCACAGCGGAAACGAAUCCGACUAGGAACCAUAAGGUUGCGGGUUCGAUACGUGGCCUCGCUCAGUGGGUUAAGGACCCGGCAUUGCUGUGAGCUGUUCUGUAGGUCGCAGACAUGGCUCAGAUCUGGCACUGCUGUGGCUGUGGCGCAGGCCAGGAGCUGUAGCUCCAAUUAGACCCCUAGCCUGGGAACCUCCAUAUGCCGUGUGUGCAGCCAAAAAACUUUUUUUAAUUUUAAAAUAACAUUGGAAGGCACGGCUUUCCCAUCAUCUUCUCUGAUUACUGUAAAUAACUAGCAAUUAGAAUCAGAAUUUGUUUCUUCAUCUUUUUAGGGCUGUACCCACAGCACAUGGAAAUUCCCAGGCUAGGGGUCAAAUUGGAGUUGCAGCUGCUGGCCUAUGCCACAGCCACAGAAAAACCAGAUCUGAGCCACAUGUGCUACCUACACCACAGCUCACAGCAACACUGGAUCCUUAACCCACUGAAAGAGGCCAGUGAUCAAACCCACAUCCUCACAGACACUGUGUCGGGUUCUUAGCCCACUGAGCCACAAGGGGAACUCCUAGAAUCAGAAUUUAUUUGAGGAACAGAACACUGGCUGUGUACCUAACAUAAGAAAACUACAUUUUUAAAACAAAUUUCUACUGUUAACAAUUAUCAUUCAACAUAGAAUGUCAUAGGUAUCUGAACUGCACUGAAUGAAUGCUAUGAUUUGAUAUCUGAACUAUACUAUUGGUUCUCAGAUGGUUUGCCUACAUUUCUUUUCCAUUCUAUAUUAAACUGAGAAGGUAUGAAGAAGCAGAAUUAUCUCAUUUAAUUUUAGCUCUCCCUUCUGGGCCCUCUCUAUAUAUAACAAAUGAAGUAGCCAGUUUUUUAAAAAGUCAAAAUCAAAAUGCUCUUACAACCAAGGGGGUCUUCAAGUUGAUGAAAACAGGGAAAUUGGGAUUGACAUAACAGGAAGGACAAUUAGAUAAAUUCCCAGUUCUCUGAAUCUUCAUAAAUGACUAGAUUUAUUUGAAGUGUUUUAUAUUCUCAAAAUAGGAACAACCAGAUAAAAGAGAUAAUUUAUGUCCCUAGUAAGAAGUACUUUACAGUGAAGUAUUUGUACUACUUAUUAGCUGAUACUAAAAAAUUGGCCUCCCGCUGAAAUUUUCAAUAACAUACUAAUAUACAGUCAGCUAGUUAACACAUUCUCGAUAAUUUUUAGUUACUUGAUGAUUAAUAAAAGUAAUUAGUCUUCUAACCCAUUCUAUGGUGAUUUCACAGUAAAACCACUAACUAAAACACAAACUUAAAUUUUAAUUGACUAAAAUUUACCUUCUUGGCCUUCAUGACAAGGUUGUUAUCUUAUAAAAGCAAACUCUUUUCUCCGUGAAAUAAGAUUAAAAUUCUUCACUUUCUGUACAGAAAACUAGAACUUUCUCUAAAUGAAACAAAAACAGACUAUUAAAACAGUUUAGGGAACAAAAACUCACAGGUAACAUUUAUGACAUAACUCAAUGACAAGAAUCCUCACAAACUCUACAGUACAGGGCAGGCAAGGACAAACCACCAGCAGCCAGAAGACAGUAUUACUAAUGACUAUGCCAAAGAAAGCAGAGAAAGCAAUGGGAUGCCUGCGGGCUGGCAGAACAGGAGAACUCCCAGAGCCCUCUGGAAAGUCAGUAGAAAGCACAAUGGACCAAUCUCAGGUUAGCAACUGAAACUCAAAGGGGCUCUGCCCAGUCCAAUAGUAGGUGAGUGCACGUCUGAAAGGGCUGCAGCAGUUUGUCUCCAUGGACUCUUGAAACUGACCCUCCAGGACCCCCUUCCAGGACACGGAUCCACAAUGAGGAGAAAAUGCUUUGAGUGGAAUCAAAAUUAGGCAAAACAGGAACCACAAAGAAAGAAAGAGCAGGUCUAGAUAAAACUGAUAGAGAGGAAUUAGGAAACCCCAGAAAGCAAGCUGUCUGUGCAAAAACCACCAUAGAAGCUGUACAACAGAAGAAGUAUUAUGGGGGAGGGGGAACAAAUUAAAUUAACCCUCCUUCGAAGAGAUGAAGAAAAUUAACUUCACAUAAAAAUGAACAAAAGGGAGUUUCCACUGUGGCACAGCAGAAACAAAUCU